rnacentral:rRNA from 1 species
CUACGGGGGGCUGCAGUGGGGAAUAUUGGGCAAUGGGGGAAACCCUGACCCAGCAACGCCGCGUGAAGGAUGAAGGCUUUCGGGUUGUAAACUUCUUUGAUCGGGGAAGAACCAAGACGGUACCCGAGGAACAAGCCACGGCUAACUACGUGCCAGCAGCCGCGGUAAUACGUAGGGGGCAAGCGUUGUCCGGAAUUACUGGGUGUAAAGGGCGCGUAGGCGGGAAGGCAAGUCAGAAGUGAAAUCCCGGGGCUCAACCCCGGAACUGCUUCUGAAACUGUUUUUCUUGAGUGUCGGAGAGGAAAGUGGAAUUCCCAGUGUAGCGGUGAAAUGCGUAGAGAUUGGGAGGAACACCAGUGGCGAAGGCGGCUUUCUGGACGAUAACUGACGCUGAGGCGCGAAAGCGUGGGGAGCAAACAGGAUUAGAUACCCGGGUAGUC